CUAGAAUAAAAGUAGAUAAGUCUUCAUAACUCAAAGAAUUUGGCGGCUAAUUUUUUUCAGAGGAACCUGUAUAUUGAUUGAUAAACCACGAUAGUUUUUACUUUUUAUUUAUUUAUAUACCUCUAUAUUUAUGGAAUCUUCUUUUAGGAGAAUUUUCUUUUGAAAUUAAUUAUAAAUUUUAGGUCAAGGUGUAGUUUUUGAAAAUGUUUAUAUGGGUUAUUUUAGUUAAAAUUAUAAUUUAAAAUUAAUUUAAUUAAAUUAAUUUUUUUUAGGAUUUGAUAGUAAAAUUAAUUAAUUAAUUUUUUUGAAUAUA
rnacentral:rRNA from 1 species